UGGCCCAAUGGUAAGGCGCUUGACUACGAAUCAAGAGAUUGCAGGUUCGACCCCUGGACCCCUGC
rnacentral:tRNA from 1 species